rnacentral:rRNA from 1 species
CCUACGGGAGGCUGCAGUAGGGAAUCUUUCACAAUGGGCGAAAGCCUGAUGGAGCAACGCCGCGUGCAGGAUGAAGGCCUUCGGGUUGUAAACUGCUUUUAUAAGCGAGAAAUAUGAUGGUAACUUAUGAAUAAGGAUCGGCUAACUACGUGCCAGCAGCCGCGGUCAUACGUAGGAUCCGAGCAUUAUCCGGAGUGACUGGGUGUAAAGAGUUGCGUAGGUGGCAUAAUAAGUAGCUAGUGAAAUCUGGUGGCUCAACCAUUCAGACUAUUAGCUAAACUGUUAAGCUCGAGACCGUUAGGGGUAACUGGAAUGUCUAGUGUAUGAGUGAAAUCCGUAGAUAUUAGAAGGAACACCAAUAGCGUAGGCAGGUUGCUGGGACGGUUCUGACACUAAGGCACGAAAGCGUAGGGAGCAAACGGGAUUAGAUACCCCAGUAGUC